UCUGACUCUUCAAGCACAAUGCUGAAUAGUCAACCACACACACCAGCAAAAAAGCUAUAAAAGGAACUGUUGUCCUUAUUUUUGUGACUUUUGCUUACUACAACAGAGAUUUUUGGAAUCAAGUUUGUACAACUUUGUUCGGUAGGGAGGACUGAUCAUUGGGAACUAAAGAAGAUGAAGUAACGAAGAUGAUAUGCAGGUUAUUCAGCGUUUUUUGGCAGCCUCAACAUUGCACAUUCACACGUACUUCAAAAUACCUCCCUGCUAUGUCGUUUUUGCAAUAGCAAAGGUUGGCUACUAAGAUUAGCAGAUUGUAGCUCUUGCUCAUAUGCAGUGGAAUGAUAAAUGAAGAUGUACUUGAAGAUUUUAUAAGCUAAACAAUGUACUUAUCUUUCUGAAGUUAUGCUAAACAAUGUACUUAUCUUAGCCAUCAAAAAUGUCUAGAAUUUUGAAAUGGACUAUGCACCAAGGGUGUUUUAUGAUAUGUCUGCAAGGUAAAAUUAACUUUUUACCAUAGUCUGUGCCUGUUUCUGCACUUGAGAAAAGAAGUUUGCUUCUUACUUUGUUUUUGAAGUUUUUGGUAUAUGUUUUCUCCUCUUCCUUUUUAAUAGAUAGAAAUGUAUUCACUAAUGUAAUUUACAGAAAUGAACGUAUACAUCAGCCAUCUUAAAAGUCUAACCAACUAUGCGAACAAGUUGAGAAUUCUUUUAAACACCUAAACUAUAUUACUGACAGUAGGGAGAGAAUUAUUGGA